rnacentral:rRNA from 1 species
GACGAACGCUGGCGGCGUGCUUAACACAUGCAAGUCGAACGAAGAGCGACGGAAGCUUGCUUCUAUCAAUCUUAGUGGCGAACGGGUGAGUAACGCGUAAUCAACCUGCCCUUCAGAGGGGGACAACAGUUGGAAACGACUGCUAAUACCGCAUACGAUCUAAUCUCGGCAUCGAGGAUGGAUGAAAGGUGGCCUCUACAUGUAAGCUAUCACUGAAGGAGGGGAUUGCGUCUGAUUAGCUAGUUGGAGGGGUAACGGCCCACCAAGGCGAUGAUCAGUAGCCGGUCUGAGAGGAUGAACGGCCACAUUGAGACUGAGACACGGCCCAGACUCCUACGGGAGGCAGCAGUGGGGAAUCUUCCGCAAUGGACGAAAGUCUGACGGAGCAACGCCGCGUGAGUGAUGACGGCCUUCGGGUUGUAAAGCUCUGUUAAUCGGGACGAAAGGCCUUCUUGCGAAUAGUGAGAAGGAUUGACGGUACCGGAAUAGAAAGCCACGGCUAACUACGUG